GGAGAGGUGGCCGAGCGGCUGAAGGCGCUCGCCUGCUAAGCGAGUAACAGGCAAACCCUGUUCGAGGGUUCGAAUCCCUCCCUCUCCG
rnacentral:tRNA from 1 species